rnacentral:rRNA from 1 species
UACGAAGGGUGCAAGCGUUACUCGGAAUUACUGGGCGUAAAGCGUGCGUAGGCGGUUUGUUAAGUCCGUUGUGAAAGCCCUGGGCUCAACCUGGGAAUUGCAGUGGAUACUGGCGAGCUAGAGUGCGGUAGAGGAUGGUGGAAUUCCCGGUGUAGCGGUGAAAUGCGUAGAGAUCGGGAGGAACACCCGUGGCGAAGGCGGCCAUCUGGACCAGCACUGACGCUGAGGCACGAAAGCGUGGGUAGCAACAGG